rnacentral:rRNA from 1 species
UACGGAGGGGACUAGCGUUGUUCGGAAUUACUGGGCGUAAAGCGCACGUAGGCGGAUUGUUAAGUCAGGGGUGAAAUCCCGAGGCUCAACCUCGGAACUGCCUUUGAUACUGGCAAUCUCGAGUCCGGAAGAGGUGAGUGGAAUUCCUAGUGUAGAGGUGAAAUUCGUAGAUAUUAGGAAGAACACCAGUGGCGAAGGCGGCUCACUGGUCCGGUACUGACGCUGAGGUGCGAAAGCGUGGG